GAUGAACGCUGGCGGCGUGCCUAAUACAUGCAAGUCGAGCGAACGGACGAGAAGCUUGCUUCUCUGAUGUUAGCGGCGGACGGGUGAGUAACACGUGGAUAACCUACCUAUAAGACUGGGAUAACUUCGGGAAACCGGAGCUAAUACCGGAUGAUAUUUUGAACCGCAUGGUUCAAAAGUGAAAGACGGUCUUGCUGUCACUUAUAGAUGGAUCCGCGCUGCAUUAGCUAGUUGGUAAGGUAACGGCUUACCAAGGCAACGAUGCAUAGCCGACCUGAGAGGGUGAUCGGCCACACUGGAACUGAGACACGGUCCAGACUCCUACGGGAGGCAGCAGUAGGGAAUCUUCCGCAAUGGGCGAAAGCCUGACGGAGCAACGCCGCGUGAGUGAUGAAGGUCUUCGGAUCGUAAAACUCUGUUAAUAGGGAAGAACAUAUGUGUAAGUAACUGUGCACAUCUUGACGGUACCUAAUCAGAAAGCCACGGCUAACUACGUG
rnacentral:rRNA from 1 species